UCCCGCGUGGAAGGGCCAUCGCUCAACGGAUAAAAGGUACUCCGGGGAUAACAGGCUGAUACCCCCCAAGAGUCCACAUCGACGGGGGCGUUUGGCACCUCGAUGUCGGCUCAUCGCAUCCUGGGGCUGGAGCAGGUCCCAAGGGUAUGGCUGUUCGCCAUUUAAAGAGGUACGUGAGCUGGGUUUAGAACGUCGUGAGACAGUUCGGUCCCUAUCUGCCGUGGGUGUACGAGACUUGAGAGGAUCUGUCCCUAGUACGAGAGGACCGGGAUGGACAUACCUCUGGUGGAGCGGUUGUCACGCCAGUGGCACUGCCGCGUAGCUAUGUAUGGACUGGAUAACCGCUGAAGGCAUCUAAGCGGGAAACCAACCUCAAAACUAGGUCUCGCCUGAGAGCCGUAGUAGACCACUACGUCGAUAGGCCGGGUGUGGAAGCGUGGUAACACGUGAAGCUUACCGGUACUAAUUGCUCGAUCGGCUUC
rnacentral:rRNA from 1 species